UAUCUCUAAGUUGCUUAUACGUACGACCCGUUUUCUUUGAGUCGCGUUGUUUGAGAAUGCAGCGCAAAGUAGGUGGUAAAUUCCAUCUAAAGCUAAAUAUUGGUGCGAGACCGAUAGCAAACAAGUACCGUGAGGGAAAGAUGAAAAGAACUUUGAAAAUAGAGUUAAAGAGUACCUGAAACUGCUGAAAGGGAACCAAAUCGUUUCCAGUGUCUAUAAUCCGUGGUAUAUCACAUCGGCGAGCGUGUGCGUGUGUGUGCUGUUGUAGUGGCCUUUUGGUUACGCUCGGCGUAUGUGCUGUAUAUGCU
rnacentral:rRNA from 1 species